GAAGCCUAGUGACAUGUACCUUUUCGAUGUAUACUACAAUAUUAUCUUUAACCUAACCUUGUACACUUUAUUCAGUCUUGCCAUUCCAGUUAUAGUUCUGUAUUUUACAACUUUCCACCUCGUGACCGCGUUGAGAAAAGCAGCAAAGACCGUCAUCAUAGCGGAUAAGGCUAAACGACGGACUGACAUGAAUGUCGUUACAUUCCGGGUGGUUAUCGUAAUUCUAGUAUUCCUCGUUCUAGAAACACCCACCCAUGUCUUAAAGAGUCUGUAUAUUGUUUUGGAGUAUUCAGACGUCGGUAAAAGCAUGAUCAAGAUAGCUCCGGAUCUUCUCUUCAGUUUAUUGGACUACUUCGUGAUCCUGGGCGUGGUCAAUUCAUCAGUUAACUUUUUUAUCUAUUUUGUGACAGGUGCAAACUUUCGCCGAUUACUUAUAGAUAUUAUAAUAUUGCGUAAAGGUCGACACUGUGAUACAAAAAUGCCUAAAUGAAAAUUUUAUCUAAAUGCUAAUAAUGAUCAUCGAUCAUACACUGCUUUGAACAUGUAUACCCUGAUACAUUUCGGCUCCAUCUGGAGCAUAGUUCGUCCUUAUUCUUCCUCCAUCGCCUACGAAAUCAUUUGUAGACAUGGUAGACCGAAGAGAAAAUUAUCGCAGAUCAGUAGAUAGAUAGAGACUGGACAAAUAGUGGUCUCUGCUCUUUAAUGCUAAGAGGGCCCCUGAAUACUGCCUCACGGUUCAACCGGCUAUCAACUCAGUCUCGGUCUGGCAAACUAUUGCGCUGACGAAUUACAGUGCACAAUAGUCAUUGAUGAAGCCAGUGCCGAAAUGGACAUAAUCAAUGUCACGUCUUCUUUUCGUCUAUAUUUUGCCAAACUCCUCAGUUCGACGACGCAGCACCGAUCCAGAUUCGCCACUGUGUGUUCUCACCACGAGACGACAUUACAUUGAGGGUUCCAGUUAGCAGUCACAGGUCGCCGAUCGUUGGCGCCAGUGGGCAUAGUAGACAAAUAUAGACAAUACCACAUAACGACAUGCAAAGUGCCCGAAAUUAAGAUAAUCUACAUGGUCUAGACAUGGUUAGCCAAUUUGUUGACCGGGACCAGACGUUACCACGGUGCCAAAUCGAUGACAGAGAGGUACUAGAGUGUAAACAGAAUUCCGGUACAAUGACUCGUCCGCUCAUCUCAAAAUAACUUUAGAGGGAUCGGAUACACUCAUUAUACCUCAUUUUCACCAGACACGAACCAGAUAAGAACAUAGGUCGAUCUACUGACUGCCGAGUAUCUGAUGUACGCUAUUCCUAAAGUCCUGGCAUUGCAUGUAAAGAAAGUCUAAAAAGUGUAAGGAAUAGCUUGACGCACUCAACUCAAAAGACCAAGAAGCAGACGGAAAUAAUCGUUUGAUCCAAAGGCAAAAUCUUCAGUUCAUUUACUAGGUUGUAGAGGGUGCUUGAUACAGCAGAGUCGGCGUGGAACUAUCGAGUCACUGCUUCUCUUGUAAUAAGAAGGGAUGGCGCUGGUAAAAGCGCAAGACUCGUGAUCUCUUACAAAUGAAGUGCAUCAAUUGACGACUAGGAGGCGCUAAAUACAUCAAAGUCUGACGGAAGUAUCGAGAUAACACUUGUACUGGAACCAAUCAGUCAAAACUGUUGCAGAACUCAACGGAAUAAAAUCCAAACGGAAUCAUGCCUUUUCCUCUAAAUGAUGCGUCGUUUUGAAACAGGAAUUGAGUCGAUCAGUGGAUAUUACGAAACUAUUCAUCUUGUCUCUGGGGGAUUUCUCGGCAAUUUUUUUGUUGGCGCGGUGCCGUCCCGCGCUGACCUCUCCAGAGAGACAGUGAAAAGUUGCCUAUUUUGUCCCUCAUUGCCACAAUGAUCAGAUGGCGGUCUUUCUGUUUGGCUAGUGUUCUAAUCGUGACGACGCUAGCCGCGGCCCUCUCCUCCCCAGUGGCUUCGGAGGGCCGGAGACUGCCUUUACCAGACAUAUCAACCGACAAGCGAGGG